rnacentral:rRNA from 1 species
AGUGAACGCUGGCGGCGUGCCUAAUACAUGCAAGUCGAACGAAGUGGCGCACGGGUGAGUAAUAUAUAGCUAAUCUGCCCCUUGCUGGAGGACAACAGUUAGAAAUGACUGCUAAUACUCCAUAGCAAGGGAUGAGACUAUAUCGUAUCAGCUCGUCGGUGGGGUAAAGGCCUACCGAGGCUAUGACGCGUAACUGGUCUGAGAGGAUGAUCAGUCAAAUUGGAAGGGAGACACGGUCGAAAAUCCUACGGGAGGCAGCAGUAGGGAAUAGUGCGCAAUGGGGGAAACCCUGACGGAGCAACGGCGCGUGGAGGAUUACACGUGUCGGAGCGUAAACUCCUUUUGUUAGGCAAGCGGUACCUAACGAAGAAGCACCGGCUAACUCCGUGCCAGCAGCCGCGGUAAUAC